UACAGUGCGAUGCUUCAUGAUUUGCUCCC
rnacentral:piRNA from 1 species